UGGGGAAUAUUGCACAAUGGGCGCAAGCCUGAUGCAGCGACGCCGCGUGGGGGAUGACGGCCUUCGGGUUGUAAUCUCCUUUCGCUAGGGACGAAGCUUUUUGUGACGGUACCUAGAUAAGAAGCACCGGCUAACUACGUGCCAGCAGCCGCGGUAAUACGUAGGGUGCGAGCGUUGUCCGGAAUUACUGGGCGUAAAGGGCUCGUAGGUGGUUUGUCGCGUCGUCUGUGAAAUUCCGGGGCUUAACUCCGGGCGUGCAGGAGAUACGGGCAUAACUUGAGUACUGUAGGGGUAACUGGAAUUCCUGGUGUAGCGGUGAAAUGCGCAGAUAUCAUGAGGGACACCGAUGGCGAAGGCAGGUUACUGGGCAGUUACUGACGCUGAGGAGCGAAAGCAUGGGUAGCGAACAGG
rnacentral:rRNA from 1 species